GAACUCCGGUCUGCCCUGAUCCCUCUCUUUAUUUACCCUGAUGCUACCCAGCUCUCCCGAUGAUGUUCCAAACACACUAAAACCACACAUGGCAUUGGACCAGAAUAUAGUGUACACAGGAGUACAAUGUCGUUUCAAGCAGGCCACAGAUUUUUAAAUUUCUCGCAGAAGUUAACAGAGUCUAAAAGCCGCCUUAAAAAUGACAGAUCCAUGUAUCCUUUGGAUUACUUUAGAUUUGGAGGACUACGGUGACCAGUGUUUUUUUUUGUUUAAUGUUAAUAAAAUGGUUAAUGAGG